AUAGGGGAGCCGAAGGGAAACCGAGUCUUAACUGGGCGUUAAGUUGCAGGGUAUAGACCCGAAACCCGGUGAUCUAGCCAUGGGCAGGUUGAAGGUUGGGUAACACUAACUGGAGGACCGAACCGACUAAUGUUGAAAAAUUAGCGGAUGACUUGUGGCUGGGGGUGAAAGGCCAAUCAAACCGGGAGAUAGCUGGUUCUCCCCGAAAGCUAUUUAGGUAGCGCCUCGUGAACUCAUCUUCGGGGGUAGAGCACUGUUUCGGCUAGGGGGUCAUCCCGACUUACCAACCCGAUGCAAACUGCGAAUACCGAAGAAUGUUAUCACGGGAGACACACGGCGGGUGCUAACGUCCGUCGUGAAGAGGGAAACAACCCAGACCGCCAGCUAAGGUCCCAAAGUCACAGUUAAGUGGGAAACGAUGUGGGAAGGCUCAGACAGCCAGGAUGUUGGCUUAGAAGCAGCCAUCAUUUAAAGAAAGCGUAAUAGCUCACUGGUCGAGUCGGCCUGCGCGGAAGAUGUAACGGGGCUAAACUGUGCACCGAAGCUGCGGCAGCGACGCUUAUGCGUUGUUGGGUAGGGGAGCGUUCUGUAAGCCUGCGAAGGUGUCCUGUGAGGGAUGCUGGAGGUAUCAGAAGUGCGAAUGCUGACAUAAGUAACGAUAAUGCGGGUGAAAAGCCCGCUCGCCGGAAGACC
rnacentral:rRNA from 1 species